rnacentral:rRNA from 1 species
UACGUAGGGGGCAAGCGUUGUCCGGAUUUAUUGGGCGUAAAGAGCGUGUAGGCGGCCACACAGGUCAGCUGUGAAAACUCGAGGCUCAACCUCGAGACGUCGGUUGAAACCGUAUGGCUAGAGUCCGGAAGAGGAGAGUGGAAUUCCCGGUGUAGCGGUGAAAUGCGCAGAUAUCGGGAAGAACACCCGUGGCGAAGGCGGGCUCUCUGGGACGGUACUGACGCUGAGACGCGAAAGCGUGGGGAGCGAACAGG